AUUGAACGCUGGCGGCAGGCCUAACACAUGCAAGUCGAGCGGAUGAAGAGAGCUUGCUCUCUGAUUCAGCGGCGGACGGGUGAGUAAUGCCUAGGAAUCUGCCUGGUAGUGGGGGACAACGUUUCGAAAGGAACGCUAAUACCGCAUACGUCCUACGGGAGAAAGUGGGGGAUCUUCGGACCUCACGCUAUCAGAUGAGCCUAGGUACGAUUAGCUAGUUGGUGAGGUAAAGGCUCACCAAGGCGACGAUCGUUAACUGGUCUGAGAGGAUGAUCAGUCACACUGGAACUGAGACACGGUCCAGACUCCUACGGGAGGCAGCAGUGGGGAAUAUUGGACAAUGGGCGAAAGCCUGAUCCAGCCAUGCCGCGUGUGAAGAAGGUCUUCGGAUUGUAAAGCACUUUAAGUUGGGAGGAAGGGCAGUAAGUUAAUACCUUGCUGUUUUGACGUUACCGACAGAAUAAGCACCGGCUAACUUCGUGCCAGCAGCCGCUGUAACAC
rnacentral:rRNA from 1 species